CUGAGAGGAUGACCAGCCACACUGGAACUGAGACACGGUCCAGACUCCUACGGGAGGCAGCAGUGGGGAAUAUUGCACAAUGGGCGCAAGCCUGAUGCAGCCAUGCCGCGUGUAUGAAGAAGGCCUUCGGGUUGUAAAGUACUUUCAGCGGGGAGGAAGGGAGUAAAGUUAAUACCUUUGCUCAUUGACGUUACCCGCAGAAGAAGCACCGGCUAACUCCGUGCCAGCAGCCGCGGUAAUACGGAGGGUGCAAGCGUUAAUCGGAAUUACUGGGCGUAAAGCGCACGCAGGCGGUUUGUUAAGUCAGAUGUGAAAUCCCCGGGCUCAACCUGGGAACUGCAUCUGAUACUGGCAAGCUUGAGUCUCGUAGAGGGGGGUAGAAUUCCAGGUGUAGCGGUGAAAUGCGUAGAGAUCUGGAGGAAUACCGGUGGCGA
rnacentral:rRNA from 1 species